GAAGGAUCGCCUCCGCCUCUCUUCUUGCCUAUAAUGAAAAAGAUACCGACUGCCUGCCCCCUUAAGAGAUAUGGCCAGAGAUACUACAAGAUAUGCUUGCUUCCCCCUUCACCCUUCAGCCAUGACUGUAAGUUUCCUGAGGCCUUCCCAGCCAUGCCUCCUAUACAGGCAGUGGAACUAUAAGUCAAUUAAACCUCUUUUCUUUAUAAAUUA